GACGAACGCUGGCGGCGUGCUUAACACAUGCAAGUCGAACGGAAAGGCCCUGCUUUUGUGGGGUGCUCGAGUGGCGAACGGGUGAGUAACACGUGAGUAACCUGCCCUUGACUUUGGGAUAACUUCAGGAAACUGGGGCUAAUACCGGAUAGGAGCUCCUGCUGCAUGGUGGGGGUUGGAAAGUUUCGGCGGUUGGGGAUGGACUCGCGGCUUAUCAGCUUGUUGGUGGGGUAGUGGCUUACCAAGGCUUUGACGGGUAGCCGGCCUGAGAGGGUGACCGGCCACAUUGGGACUAAGAUACGGCCCAGACUCCUACGGGAGGCAGCAGUGGGGAAUAUUGCACAAUGGGCGGAAGCCUGAUGCAGCAACGCCGCGUGCGGGAUGACGGCCCUCGGGUUGUAAACCGCUUUCGCCUGUGACGAAGCGUGAGUGACGGUAAUGGGUAAAGAAGCACCGGCUAACUACGUG
rnacentral:rRNA from 1 species